CAUCAUUUCGGCGUCUCCGAGAGGACAGGAGAGCUCGCGUACGGGGACGCUCAAACCGGCGAAGGGCGUGGCUUCUUUUGGACACAACACACAAAAUGGCUGUUCCCUAUAUCCUGAAACCGAGGGGAUCCGAUUCCAAGAUGGCGCCGCGGUGACAUUAAUGUCCGAGCAGAUUAUUAGAAAAUGGAAAGGCCGCACUGAGAGCCAAACAAUUGAUGGACGUUUACACAAGGGCCGGUGUCAGAGGGGGUCCGAAGUGGGAAAUGGCGGGUUUUGGUCCACGUCCAAGGUGGAGGGACUCGGGUGGCGCUCCUUUCAGCAGUUCCUCAGGACGGUCAUUGGUAUGCAGGAAUGCUCCCCCAGCACGCCAUUCUGAGGCUGAUUUUGGAGGGAAACUGUUCGGUCGCCAUGACAGAGGAUGUGUGUGUCUUUAGAUCCGAGCGUGGUCAGUGCCAAGAAAAAGUGGGCGUCCGGCCAGAUCGGGCCACCUUUUUUUUUUUUCUGUAGCUGACCCCCUCCCCCAACGCCAUCUCCCCAACAACGCCCCCCCACCCAACAACACCCCCCCACCCAACAACACCCCCCACUGACGGAGCAGCUCGGCAACUAAACCGAAGACCAAACAGAGCUCCACAUAUACGUCCUCCUGCAAGAGUUCCUGUUGUGAGAAUUACGAUGAGAAAUAAAGUGUGUGUUCGUGCACGUGUGUGUGCACGUCUGUCCAGAUGCACAUGUGUGUGUGUGUGUGUGUGCGGCAUCAUCUGAGCUCACACACUUGCAGUCUAACUGUAUCAAACACACCGACCCUGAAGGAGCAGUUUCUUCUUCAGUUUUUAUCUCCUCAUUAUUUUUUCUUUUUCUUUUUUUUCUCAUUUUUCUGUUUUCUCUCUUUUUUCUAAAUUUACUUUAACUCUGUCAUUUAUGUUUACAAAGUGUGUCUAAUGUCAGUUUACAUACGUGGAUCGAGUCCUGCGUGACCUAAAGUGUGUUUUUGUAAUUUACGUUGAAUUUUAUCUCUUAUUACCAAAAGUCUGACAGUUAAACAUCAAUAUUUUACCUUAUUUUACACUAUAGUAAUGUAAUAUUAAUUUCACUUUUCCAGAUUUAAAGAGAAAAUAAUAAUCUGAGGAGAUGUGCUGAGACUGAUUUGUUAUUUUGCAGAAUAAAUACGAGGACAUGUUUAUUCUGAGGUGUUUUUUAAUCAUUUUUUAAUGUUCUGAUUUGUUUUUUCAGGUGAUGUUGCUUCAGUCUGUCUCUUCUCAUAAAUAUCUUUGAUUUUUAGUUGAUAAUUCUGCUUCUGAAGCUUCAUAUUUAGUAACUUGUGAAGAAGUUGAAGUUGUAGUCUGAGAAAAGUCGUGUUUUUCUUCACGUGUUUAACGUGUUCACGCCUCCUCUUAAACCCUGAACUCUCUGGAUUAUGAAGGUUCGACUUUUGCCCUUUGACCCCAGAGUGAUGGGGUCACUCUGGGUGAUGCCGGGUCCCUUUAAAGGGUUUUUAUAUGAGGACUGAUGUUGGAGAUACUUCUGCACCUUUAGACCUGGUUCAUGGUUUUGUUUUGUAGACCUGGUCCGUCGUAUUAUUUAGUCUCCAAAAGGUCGUUUGUGUUGAGCGUCUGUCACUCGGUGUAAUUAACAUCUUAAAAAUGAGGUCGUGUGUCUGAAUAAAACAAAGAUGUAAACUAAUGAAAGUACAUUCAGGAAUCUGUUUGUUCUUGUUUUGUUCUGUUUGUAACUUGAACACUUUUGUAAACGAGAUUUUCAUCUUUUCCUGUUGAAGAAAUUUUAAACCGAAAUAAAAUAUUGAUUUAUGAAUAAAUAACUUUUAUUUAUGGCAGAAA